GGCUCCGUAGCUCAGCGGUUAGAGCGCACGACUCAUAAUCGUGAGGUCCCUGGUUCGAAUCCAGGCGGAGCUA
rnacentral:tRNA from 2 species